AUUAAUUUUAUUUAUGGACUUUCCAAUUUUCUUACUGUAUUGUAUUGAUUAAAUGUAUAGUUUAUGCAAUAUAAAUAGUCUUCAAUCAAGAUUUUUGGGUCUCUGAAUUCGCUCUAAUCUUUAAAUGUUUGUUAUUACUAUGCUUUUUGAUCGCUGGAUUUGGUAAUUUGAUAAAUGGAGUAAAUGAAAAGAAUUAUUAGAAGAAAAAAUUGGUUUAUAAUCAAGAAAUAUCAUUGGUUUCAGAUCAGUCAUCGCGCUCAGACACAUUAAUUUCACUCAAUAAGAUUGAAUUGGAAUGAAGAAAAACAAAUAAAUUCACUUAAUUUUGGUAAACGAAAUGAACAUGAAUAUGGGAUUUCUCUUAUUUCUUAAAACAAAAUUCACAACCCACUAAUUGUUCCGAGUAUAUGUGGCUCUAAUAAGUAAUAACGGUUAGAUGAUUGUACUUAUCGGUUUAAAUCAUCGAUUACAUUAAUUUUGUAUACAAAUGUUUGAUACUCAAGUGAGUUGAUAGCUCACUUUUGAGAGAUAAAUACAAUUUACGAUUUUUUCACCAUAUACUCCGAGUUUUUAAAAAAUUUACGAGUUAUCCCAUGUUUUCAAAAUUCACCAGCUACCUCUUAGGUCUUAGUUACUUUUUAUUAGCAUUAAAUGCCUUUAUAAUUAAUGGACGUUAGUGCUCCGUUGGCCCAAAUCUACAAGUUUGUCAUUAAUUUUGUGACGUCAUAAUGGUAAUCUCCUAUUAGACAUCACUUCACUUCCAAAAAAUUUGUCCCAUCAACUUCCAGUCAUCGGUUUUGGUUCAUCCAUAAAACCCUAAAAUUGGGGAUUUUGAACAAAAUUCGUUAACCAUUUGAUGUGCAUUAGGAAGGUAUUUUGAACAAAUUGUUGUCGAGUUGAAGAAUCUCAACAAAAGACUGAAGUAAAAAUGUGAUUUUGUGGAACUGCGAAAAAGUUAAAAUUUUCAAAGCAACGGUUAAAAAACUGCGAAAUGUAAAAAAAAUCUUCAUUUUCUUCAACUUAAAGUGCUUUGAAGUUAAAUAAUUUCACACUUGUUGCAUGAAUAAUGUUUUGCAUUGUUUUAGGAUGCUAGGGUUAGUUGUGGUUGUUCGACUUGUAAUUUUUUGAAAUUUUUGUGCUUUGUACUUAGGUCUUCUUUACUUUGUGUUUGAUUUUUAUGUUAUGUGAUUAUUGGGAUGGUAUGUUGUAUAGUUAUUGGUGCAUUUCAAUACUCAUGAUUUUGAUGUUAGGGUAGAGGAUCGGACAUUGAUUUGUUUCAUUUAAUGGGCUUGUUUGAAGAUUUACUUGAGAAAUCAUUGAAGGAAAAUGUGUAUUUGUCUAAACUAUUUAGGGUGUUAGUUAAGAAUCUUAGGACUAAGAAGAAAAUUGAGUUGAGAACUGAUUCUGAUUUGAUGAAAGUGUGGGUAUGGGGAUUGGCCAAGGAUACCAUUGAGUUAUGAGUGGAGGAGACUGCAGACUCUUGCCAAGUAUUUAGGUAUGUUCUUGUAAAGAAAUAAUGAGGAGAGGGAGAAGCUUGAGAGCAUAAGGAGAGUACAGGAUAUAUUAAAGAGGGAGAGAGAGAAGGAGGAGGAAAGGAGGAGACAAGAAGAAGAAGAAGAAGAGGAGUAAAGGAGAUUGGAAGAAGAGAAGGAAUAUGCAACUAGAUUUUGUGUUGCUAUUGAGGUACAUGUGUUGUCUAUUGACAAUGAUGAGGUUGAGUACAUGAGAGUGUACUUAACACAGGAAGCUGAUGAAGUGGUCCCUAAUUUUUCACAACCACAACCUGAGGCUCAAACCCAAGACCUUGUUGACACCUCUCAACCCACAAAUGAGCCACAACCUAGCCCAAGUGAGGCACAACCCACAACAACAAUAGCAGCAACACCCACAAAGAGAACCCCAAGGAAAAAAAAAGAACAGCCACCCCUAAGAAAAAGAAACUGACCUUAAGGCCCAAGAAGAAGGCUAGCCUUGAACAACCCAUUCUCACUAAGCCCACCCCCUCACAGCCUACUGAAACACAGCCCAUCCCCUCUGAGCCCACCCCCUCGCAGCCUACUGAAACACAGCCCCCAACCCAGUAAAACACAUCCCACCCAACUAACCCCCUCAUAGCCUACUGAAACACAGCCCCCCCCCCCCCCAAAUCACCCCCUAUUCAUCACACCUCAACUGAGCCUAACUCACCAUCUAUUUCACAUGACACCCCAUUUGAGCAUACCUCAUAUGAGCCAACCCCAACUGAUCAAACUUUUAUGGUAAAAGAGAAGACGAAGAAUUUAGGUCCUCAGGUUUUAGAGUGCCUAAAAUCACAUCUAAAAGGCUAGACACCUAUGUUCCAAUUAAAAGGGCAAGGAACUGGGAGGCAGGGAAGUGGAAAGAGACCAAAGAGGGUGGAUUUUGGUGAUGAUGAUGGAGAUGAAAUGAUGAGGACAUCAUUGCUGAGUAGGAUGAAGAAACAUCAUAAGAUAAUGAUGUUUUAGGGGACUUUAUUGUAGAUGAGGAUGAGGACGCUUUUGCAUAUGAUGAUGUAUCCGAGAAGGCUUUUGAAGAUUUCUUAGAUGGGAGCUCUAGUAUGGACAAGUUGUAUAGGAAUGGUAAGAUAUGUAAUGAACAGUCAUAUGGGUCUAUUACAUUAGAGCCUUGGUUGAUCUUUCCAACUAGGGAGGUGUUUUUGGAGGUUCUGAGUGAUUUUUGCAUUUAAGAAGGCUUUGGUACUCUUGUCUUGAAGGCUAAUAACAAGAGGUUUACAACUUGUUGCAUAAUGGAAGCAUGUGAACGGAGGAUACAUGAUUUCAGAUUAAUUGAUACAACCAGUUGGGCCAUCAAGAUCAUUAAGGGGGAACAUACAACAUGUGGAAGGUUAAAGGAGAACCCCAUGGUCUUUUCUUUCUAGCUGUGUAAGAAACUGUAGGAAGUUAUCAAAACAAUCCUUGAUAUUCCUGUUAAGUCUUUGCAAAAGGUAGUUCAAGAGAAGUUUAGGGUGACAGUCAAGAAGAGGUUAUUUUACAAGGUGAAAAUCAUGGAUAAGGAGGAGAUUCAUGGAGGGUUUGUUGAGGCUUACAGCUUAAUCCCCACAUAUGCUGAGGAGAUUAAUCCCACAAACCCAGGGUCAUAUGUCCUUAUAACAUGGACAAGGAGCAUAGGUCAGGUAGCACCAAGUUUCAAGGCCUUUUUUUUUAAAUUUACAACACAAGUGAGGGGGUUUUUAAGAUGUUAUAGGCCUUUGAUAGGCAUUCAUAGCGCACACUUGAGUGGAUAUUAUAAGGGGGUCUUGUUGUCUGCUCUAGGUGUUGAUGGCAAUAAUAAAAUAUUUUUGAUUACAUAUGAUAUUAUUGAUACUGAGAGAACAUGAUCUUGGGAGUAUAGUAACUUGAGGUUGUGCUUUGAAAAAGAAGGGUGCAACAAGGAAGAUUGGUGCUUCAUUAGUGAUAGGAUGAGAGGGGUUGAUGUUGUGCAUGGGGUGUUUCCAAGGCUACUAGGAGGGUCUGUUGCCAACAUUUAUGAAUGAACUGCAAGAAUUUGAGCUGGAGUGGAUCAGCCUUCACAAGUUAUUUUGGAUUGCAAAAUGCCUACAACACAUAUGUGUUCAAUAAAGCAAUGGAGAAUAUCUUGGAUUUUGAUAAAGAUGUUGCUGCCUAUCUAGAUAACACCACGGAGCAGUGGUCCAUGCAUAUAUUUGACACAACAAUCAGUUGUGAUCACAGUACCACAAACUUUAUGGUGAGUUUUGAUGCCUGCACCAAAGCUCAUAGAGAUUUACUUGUGCUCAACCUACUUAAAGAGUCUGGUCAAUGAAGAGGAUUGGUGCAAGUUUUGACAAUGCUAUUGACAUGGAGUCAGGGCAACUAACUGAUUAUGUUACAAAGGUGCUCGAAACUAGGACUGGGGAUUCAAGAUUCUAUCAUGGAACAGCUUGUGGAGGAGGGGAGUUUGAAGCCAUAGAUGGGAGCGUUACUUUCCUAAUUAACUUUGCUAGGUUAAGUUGUGGGUGUGGCACAUGGCAAGGAUGUGGUAUCCCUUGCAAGCAUGUUUUAAGGGUGAUGUACAAUGAGAGAGUUGACCCUCUUGCCUAUGUGUCAGAUUAUUACAAGGGGACAACUUACAAGGCCACUUAUGCUGAGCACAUCCAUCCCAUGACUAAUCAAUCUCAAUGGUCAGAUUUUAACCUCCCACUAAUUCACCCUCCACACAAAAAGAGAGGUGAUGGCAGACCUCCAAAACAGAGGAAAAUAGGUGUGAAUGAGGCUAAAAAGGCCAAGAGAUACAACACUACUGUGAAGUGCAACAGGUGCAAGAAGAUGGGCCACAAUGCAAUAACAUGUGGCAGAAUGGAUGUAGGAAAAAAGAGAUUAAGCUGAUAGUGAGGCUAGCACUUCCAAGAAGACACAGAAGAGAGCAAGAAAGGCCACCUAAGCAACCUAGCAACAUUAUUUGCAUCUUUUAAACAAAUUUUUUUGGGUGAUUAACUUAAAUCAGUUUUUGUAAAGCUACAGUGAUAUGGGCAAAUCAGAUUUUUCUAACAAUGAUUUAGUGUUCUUUGUUGUGGUGAUUAGGGGAAGUCAGUUUUUUAUAAAGAAACUAAACAACAAAUUAGUUGUC